UACGGGGGGAGCAAGCGUUGUUCGGAUUUACUGGGCGUAAAGGGCGGGUAGGCGGCCACUGCAAGUCGGUUGUGAAAUCUCCGGGCUUAACCCGGAAAGGUCAACUGAUACUGUGCGACUAGAGUGCAGAAGGGGCAACUGGAAUUCUCGGUGUAGCGGUGAAAUGCGUAGAUAUCGAGAGGAACACCUGCGGCGAAGGCGGGUUGCUGGGCUGACACUGACGCUGAGGCGCGAAAGCCAGGGGAGCGAACUGG
rnacentral:rRNA from 1 species